rnacentral:lncRNA from 1 species
UGCGCACUGCGAUAAAUAAAAUAUUUCAUAUGUCCCCUCUAUGCCACCAUACAUUGACGACAUGCACUGUUGCUACAACACUGGCAUAUUAUAACACUGACAAAAUAUCCAAACGUUACAGUUUAUAAGAUAUUGAAAACGUAUCCAAAAGUUACUACCUUGGCGACAUAUACAAUUGAUAAGACAUUGUUAAAAUAUCCAAGACAUACUACAGUUACAAAAUGUACAGGUGACAGGUUACUCGCAAAAUUUUAAAGAGGUACUACAUUGAAAAAAUAUGCAGACAUCAAUACAUUGAUAGAAUUUAUAAGAGCUGUUAUCAGUUGUGAUAUAAUAAGUCCACGCCAGUGUUCUAAGGGAUUGACAUGUAUGUGUGCCUUUAAUAAUCAGCGGAAGGGAGGUAAAUCUAAUGGACAUUUGAUUAAGACAUAGGAAUAGUCUUUUCAUGGACACAAGCGUACGUGCUGUGUGGUCGGCGUGCGUCAAAUACGAGGAAGAACAUGUAGUGUUUAUGCUCUACAUGUAGCAGAAACAGUCGUGUUGUCACGGCACAAGUAUCAAUUGCAAAAGAUGUAACGUUCAAUUGAAAAAAAAAACAUUAUCUGUAAAUAAGAAACGUUGUGUUUAACACGUAUAUUGUAAAUAACACGAAAUCAGAUAAAUAAUUCUAGAGGGAAGACAGUUAUAAAGAAAAAAAACUUUUGACAAACUGACAAUUAGACAAUGCAUUGUACUUUAUUUGUGUUUGUUUCGUUGGGUUUAAAGUCGCACCGACACAAUUAAAACUUUCAAGCUUUGAUGGAAGACCUUAGUUGCCAUUCCGUGUAUUAUUUUAUCACGAGCGGGCACCUGCGUAGGAACCAAUGACCUUCCGUAAGCCAGCUGAAUGGCUUACACACAUGAAGAAUUCAACGCCUUCAGUGAGGCUCUUAAUCCACAUAAGUGAGGGGCAAGUGAUUCGAAGUCAGCGACCUUAACCACUCAGCCACGGAGGCACUUUAAUCUAAUACAAUAGUACUAUACACGAAAACAAAUGACUUCCUAUUUUAUACAUAUCAAAGCCAUUACAUUUUUACACAGUGUCUUUUAUUAAAAAGUGCAAAUUUAUCAUGACGGUCAUUAUAUAAAAACAUAUAAAUUAAAAGAGGUGGUGAACCAUCGAUAAUCCGGCUUCAUACUGCGCAAUGUUUUCAUCGUAGGGUUUAUGAUACUCAAAAUAUAAAGGCCUCCCCGAACAGAAACACGUCUUUGUUUGUAUAAAUAUAAUGUCAAUGCACGGGUGUUUUCGUGAUGUCCCUGUAAUAUAUCCAAGACCGGUAUGAUAGACUGGCUAUUGUAAACAUGUUUAAUAGCGAUUUUAUCACAUGAUGUUUCGAAUCAAAGGGUAAUUUCACUUGCCUUACAAAAAGCAUUUGAAUUCUUACUGAUAUAAUCAAGUAUCAACGUGCCUAAACGGAAAUAACGUAUGAGAACGGGUAUAUAUAUAUAUAUAUCUUUGUGUAAACCAGAAGUCAUAAAAAAUGUAUACAAAAUUGUUGUCCUUCCACAUUAAAGGAAAACUUGAAAUUUGUCUUUGCAAUUUUAUCGAUUGUAGAUUACUACCAUUAAAUGUUUUCAAUAAUAUACAUGCCAAUAAGAUAGUUUCACUAGCUUUAGAAAAGUAUUUGAAUUCAUAUUGAAAUUUAUUACCUAAGUACGAAAUGAAGUAUGAGAAAAAUCUUAGUUAUACCCGAUCAUAAUAUCUUUUCAAAUGAUAUGCUUUUAAAUGUUUUUUGAAUCAAAUACAUGUCAACAAGAUAGUUUCACCUGCCUUAGAAAAGCAUUUUAAUUCUUACUGACAUUUAUUACCUUAAUUACCAACGUGUCCUGAGAAAAAAAUAUGAGAAAAUAUUUCGUAAUAUAUAAUAAUGCAUGGCAUUUUUUAUUUACGCAUUAGCGAUAAGUUUAGUUAAGCAAGGUCUUGACAAUUUUUAUAAUGAAGUUGUCCAUCUUUCAAUUUGAACAGUACCAUUAACUGUUAAAAGGGGUGCUUACCAAAAAGAUACUGCCAGAAUGGCGAGCUGUGCAGAUCCUGAUCAGACUGCAACGGCUGUGUAUGCUGACCAUGAGCUACACUGGCCGCAAAGGCAGCAUCAAUCGUGUCCAGCAUGAUAAGGGUUAAAAUAAUUGUACUAUUAACAAAACCUCAGACGAAAACUCUUUUGCCACUAUAUUUUAUAUUACUGUAGGCAUUUUUUCCGAAAUGAACAACAGUACCAAAACGUGAGGCGAACGUUGUAAUCUAACAGUUUUAUUCAAAUUACUACAACAUCAUAGUUUUAUCUUAAAUAAAUAAUACAUAGCUAUAAAUUUCUUUGAGCGAAACGAAAGUUAUAAAAAAGUAAACAAAAUUGUUAUCUCUCCACAUCAAAGAAAAAUUCAAAAUUUAUCUUUGUCAUUUUUGGAAAGUCAAUAAUACACCCAUGUUUGCUUACAAAUGAUAUUCUCAAUAGCAAUCGCAUGUUGCUAUAUUAUAAAUUUGGUAUGGUCGUAAACAAAUAGCAGAAAUUGAUUUUGUAAAAGCUGCAAUAUGUUAUUCAUAACAUACUAUGUUGUGUGUAUAGCAAAUGAAAGAAGUGCUAUCAAUAUUUAAGAAAUAGUAUAUAGAAAAAUCGUGUUUUAACGUUAUUAAUACACGAAAAGAGGUUAUACGUCCGCGGAAUAAUUUCAAGAGGGCAUAGCCCAAGUGAAUUAUUCUGUCGACGUAUAACCGAUUUUGAGUGUAUUAAUUUAAGUAAAACACGAUAUUUUAUACAUUAUUUCAAUUCUGAUGUGCCCUUUAUCUAAAACAGUAGAAAAAAAUAGUAGCGCUCUUUCUUGGUCGCAACAAAAAACAUUGAAGUCAUCGCACGUUAACGUGACGUCAUUUAAGCGAAAGCGUUUUUUAACAGAAACAAGCAUUUUAGAAUAUGCAGUAAAUCAUAAGAUCCGUCAGCUUGUUUUUAAUAUACAUACAAAGUAAUAAAUAUAACAUGUAUAUAAU